rnacentral:rRNA from 1 species
CACGUAGGAGGCGAACGUUAUCCGGAUUUACUGGGCGUAAAGCGCGUGUAGGUGGUUCUGUAAGUAGGGCGUGAAAGCUCCUGGCUCAACUGGGAGAGGCCGUUCUAAACUGCAGAGCUAGAGGAUGGUAGAGGGAGGUGGAAUUCCGGGUGUAGCGGUGGAAUGCGCAGAUAUCCGGAGGAACACCAGUGGCGAAGGCGGCCUCCUGGACCAUUCCUGACACUCAGACGCGAAAGCUAGGGUAGCAAACGGGAUUAGAGACCCCGGUAGUCCUAGCCCUAAACGAUGUAGACUUGGCGUCGGUGGCUUAAUCGUCAUCGGUGUCGUAGCUAACGCGAUAAGUCUACCGCCUGGGGAUUACGGCCGCAAGGUUAAA